GGACCCGUGGCGCAGUGGUAGCGCGUGUGAUUCCAGUAGUUGAGCAUCCACAAGGUCAUCCGUUCAAUCCGGGUCGGGUUCA